rnacentral:lncRNA from 1 species
AUAAAAGUUGCAUGAAUGAACUAUCGCGGCGCCUCAGCGCAGGCUGCUGCCCCCAAAAAUACUUGCAAAUAAAAAUGAAAAGCCCUUCCGAUCAAUUUAACCUGUCCUUGCUGCUAAGAACAAAAUAUCCGAAAAAAGCUUGCCGCUUUCUACCAUUGUCUUGAGUAGAUAUAAAUGUCGUGCUAGCUUACCUGCAUUUGCCGGGCACCCCAGCAAUUUCAAGAUGUCAACCAUGUCUAUCCUGGAAUUUCUGCUAGCGUUGAUGAUAUGUGCUUCAAUUCUACCUGCGAAAGCAGAAGAAAGGGCAGCAGUCGCAUCAACAGCAGCUGCUCCUGGAGUUUCUUGGUGGUCCGGGAAUCGUUUCGCAAGGAAGUGGUGCCGCAAGAACGAGGAAUACAAGGAGUGCCAGAGCAGCAGUUGCGGCGAGUGGAAAUGCUCGUUCUUGUAUAGAGGCUGGCCCGAUGGAUGCACAAUGGACUGCGAAACGGGAUGUUUCUGUAAGCAUGGUUACUUCAGAAACAGCAACAACAAAUGUGUAAAAGGGUGGAAAUGCUUCAGAGAAUUCAACUUGUACCGACCUUCUCUCUCCGAGUAGUGCUGAAGACACCAUGCAAGGACUUUUCAUCCGAAGCCAUUCACUUGAGGGAACAGAAAGCAAGCGAUAAAUUCUGAUGAUUCAAAUAUGGGGCAAGAAAUGCAAACGAAAAUAGGCAAUAUUGUAUUCUUCACUACAGAAAAAUGCAUAUUAAAGAGAACUGCACAUUUGUUGAAUAAAGAUAACUUGAACUUA